rnacentral:lncRNA from 1 species
GCCAGCUCUCGUGGUGGGGUGGGGGUGGGGUUUCUGGUUAGUUGUCCAGGUUCUGGCGUCGCUGCGGGUGGCGAAACUGAAGUAGGCUAGGUCGACGGACUACCCAAGGCCAGAGAGUGUGGGCGGGAGGCCGUCGGAAUUCUGUGACUUUCUGGGGUGCAGGCAGCACAACGCUGUGCAGUGCCUGGACGGAAGCCAGACAGCAUUGCUAUGCACCGCUGGGCGGUCCCUAAGUUUCCAUGCCUGGUUGUUCUCAAGGUUUGCUCCGGAUCUGAUAGUCGCCCGUGACCCCUUUCCGCAGGUACAUGGCUUGUCUUGGGUUCGCGGUGGAACAUCCAAGUGCCAAGUUGGGUUGGCAAAACAGCUAAGGUGAAGGAGUUGGAGUCACUCGUGAGGAAUAUCUUUAGAGAACAGUCGGCUCUUCAGAACCAAAGAGCACAGGACUUUCAAGGACCCCACUAGUGUCUCGUGAGUGGUCCUGAAGCUCUCCGCCGUUUUGAGCUUAUGGCAGCGGUUUAUUGUAAGCCCUGGAGGUGCGCUGCUGUGCAAGCUGCAGGACUCUCCACAAAGUUUCUCAGGAUGACUACACAAACUUACUUAUGUGCUGCCUUUAGAGGACGUUGCCACAUUUCGCCCCUGGCGACAUUGUGGCAGAUCUUUUUCCUUCCCCAUUUCUGCUUUUUCCUGAGUUACUUGUCUUUUACCAUCGUCCCUCUUGGGUUGCACUGAUCAAUUUAGUUCCCUGUCUCCUCCUAGGGCUAUCCAGCAUGUAGUCGGGGGUCUACAAGGGACACAAGGAGAAGUGGGUUUGUUUGUUUGUUUGUUGCUUUUUUGUUUUUUUGCAGCCUGGCAGCCAGCCUCUGGAGCUCAUCUCACAUAAUGGCCUGCAAAUGUCGUUAUCAGGCACCAGAAAGCAGGGAACUCUUGCGACGGCUUCCAAGGAUACUGGAGACUCAGACAUCAUCUCAUGCUAAGCUGUUUGAGACAAACCACAAGUGAUCCCAGUCCUUGGAAGCUGGAGGCAGGCGAUCAGAAUUCCAAGGACUACACAGCAAGUUUGUGACUAGCCUGAGAUACAGGAGACGCUGGAGGCAGGCGGAUCAGAAUUCCAAGGACUACACAGCAAGCUGGAGGCAGGCGGAUCAGAAUUCCAAGGACUACACAGCAAGCUGGAGGCAGGCGAUCAGAAUUCCAAGGACUACACAGCAAGCUGGAGGCAGGCAAUCAGAAUUCCAAGGACUACACAGCAAGCUGGAGGCAGGCGAUCAGAAUUCCAAGGACUACACAGCAAGUUUGAGACUAGCCUGAGAUACAGGAGACCUAGUCUCAGGAGUUAAAAAAAUAAAAUAAAGACAAGCCUUGAAACCAAGACUCUCUCCAUUCUGAAACCUUUGGAGAAAAGGCCAAGUUGUGCCUGGACUAUCAUGCCCAAAAGCUUCUCUGAAAUUUCACCCUGCUCACCGGAAGGCCUGCCUAGCAGAGGUUCCAGUCACUUCAAUGUGUGGAUGACUUCCUCUGGGCCCUUUCAUGGCAGCAGGUGAGGGUAUUUUUGGCGGCCAAGGGCAGCAAAGUUUUGUUUUGUUUUCAUUUGCAAUAAGGUUUCACUAUGGAGGGCAGGGAAGCCAGCAUCUCACUAUAUAGCUGAGGGUAGCCUCAAACUUGUGAUCCUCCUGCCUUAGCCUCUUCAGUGCUGGGUCUGUAGUCAUGAAUCAUCAUAUCUGGAUAAGAAAGGGGCACUUUUAAAGUCAUAGGUGAAGUAUAAAUUAUUGCAGUCAUGGAAAACAGAAUUAAACUGGGUAUGAUGGUACACGCCUUUAAUCCCAGCACUCAGGAGGAAGAGGCGGGAAAAUCUCUGUGAGUUCGAGGCCAACCUGGUCUACAAAGUUCCAGGACAGCCAGGGUUGUUACACAGAGAAACCCUGUCUUGGAAAUAAAAAAAAAAAAGUCUAUUUGGCAUGUGAUCCUGUUCAGCCUCACUGCUGAGUAUAUCCCCCAAGGGUGUGGAGGUCAGCAGUGGCCCCUGCCUCCUAUGCAGAUGAGAUAAAAAAAAAUGGGCCACUCGUAAAAGACAAACUAGAUGCAAUUCAAACCCCUGCCGUCCGGCUACUAAGGUCUGAGGAAGAGCAAAAGCAGACUCUGAGGCUAGAGGAAAUCUCCGAGUAGAUACACUGCAAAGAAUACUGCCUUUGGGAGUCUUACUCGAGGAGACACCUGCCACACUCAACUGGAGAAACCUCCAAAAGAUCUUAGUAACAUCACUGUAAGUCACAUAGAACCAGCGGCUGAAUAGAAAGCUGGAAAAGGAAUGGCUUGCUGGCUCAGUACCAUGUCUUGUUUGAAUUUAAGUUGCUAUGGCAGAAACUGGAGGAUAAGGGCUUCUACAGAAAAGAGGUUUAUUUUGCUUACCAUUGGGGAGAUGCAGCAGCGUGACAGAAGCAUUUGCUUGGCUUUGGUGAGUGUCCCUUGACAGCACCAUGGUAGCAGAAGUCCAUGCAGAAGAGAUGGCUGUACAAAGCAGCAGGUGGUGCCAAGACAUCCGAACAUGAGCCCUAACAGCCUAGUCUGGGGAGAACUAACCUCCAUGAGACUAGCAUCGGUCCCUCAACCCCCACAAGACUAGCAUCAGUCCCUCCUGAGGCUGAUGCUCUUACUGACUCGAUCAUCUCCCAGUAGACCCUUAACAGUCACCCAACACACACACAACCUAAAAGCUGAUUUUGAUAAAAAAGUGCUGAGCCUUCAAUUGGUCCAGACAAGUACCCCAUGAUGAGAUAAUACACCAACUAGGAGUGGCCCCAAGCAGGAACGGCCGGUCAUCUGAUGGUCCCCUCAAAUGCUCUGGAACCAUUUUUAAAGAACCUGGACCAAAUAAAUGACCAACCAAAUCACAGAUCAACCAUGCCUGCUUAGCUUAGUCCUCACCUGCUCCAGUUACUCCCUGUACUAGCUGGUUUUGUGUCAAUUUGAUACAAGCUGGAGUCAUCACAGAGAAAGGAGCUUCAGUUGAGGAAAUGCCUCCAUGAGAUCCAGCUGCAAGGCAUUUCCUCAAUUAGUGAUCAAGGGGGAAAGGCCCCUUGUGGGUGGAACCAUCUCUUGGCUGGUAGUCUUGGGUUCUAUAAGAGAACAGGCUGAGCAAGCCAGGGG